rnacentral:rRNA from 1 species
UAUCGACGGCGGUGUUUGGCACCUCGAUGUCGGCUCAUCUCAUCCUGGGGCUGAAGCAGGUCCCAAGGGUAUGGCUGUUCGCCAUUUAAAGAGGUACGCGAGCUGGGUUUAGAACGUCGUGAGACAGUUCGGUCCCUAUCUACCGUGGGCGCUGGAAAUUUGAGAGGAUCUGCUCCUAGUACGAGAGGACCAGAGUGGACGAACCUCUGGUGUACCGGUUGUGACGCCAGUCGCAUCGCCGGGUAGCUAUGUUCGGAAGGGAUAACCGCUGAAAGCAUCUAAGCGGGAAGCCUACCUCAAGAUAAGAUUUCCCUAGGACUUUAUGUCCUCUAAAGAGCCGUUCGAGACUAGGACGUUGAUAGGUUGGAUGUGGAAGCAUAGUGAUAUGUGAAGCUGACCAAUACUAAUUGCUCGUGAGGCUUGACUAUACAACACCCAAGCAGUUG